UACGGAGGGUGCAAGCGUUGUUCGGAAUCAUUGGGCGUAAAGCGCGUGUAGGCGGCUUGGCAAGUCGGGUGUGGAAUCCCGGGGCUCAACCCCGGAACUGCAUUCGAAACUGCCUCGCUAGAGUCACGGAGAGGAAGGCGGAAUUCCCGGUGUAGAAGUGAAAUUCGUAGAUAUCGGGAGGAACACCAGCGGCGAAGGCGGCCUUCUGGACGAUGACUGACGCUGAGACGCGAAAGCGUGGGGAGCAAACAGG
rnacentral:rRNA from 1 species